AUGUCAAUCGCUGAGUGUUCUUCUUCCUUGGCUACCACAGCCAGAACAUUCGUGGAUGUCAGAAGUGAGGCGGAGUCGAAGGAAGAAGUGGUGGUGGAGGUGGAGGUUUCCUUCUUAUUCGCCAGCCCACCGGAUGUAUCUGGCUUCGUUGUCCAUGUUGGGGAUUACGGGUUGUCGUAUGGUGCCUCCGUCGUUAGCACCGAUGGCAACGCUGUUCUGCUAGCCAUUACCAUGGCAAUGUUCAACUUGCAGCGCUAUCUCGUCUACAGGGUUGACCAAGGGAAUCCGUCACUUGAGGUGCUUCCAGACCGACCUAUGCUGAAAUUCCAUCCAACCAAAGUGGUUGGCAUCCUCAGCCAUGGCAAGGGAUACAUUGUGGCUGCCUUGACGCGCAAGCUCAAAAUUGACUAUCUUGCUUAUGAGCUCUUUCUCUACACAUCCCAGACCAAGGCAUGGAGCAGCAAGGUGAUACCACUGGAGUGUACUAGGGACGCUGACCUGAUUCACGUCCUGAUACCACCAAGGUAA
rnacentral:rRNA from 1 species